rnacentral:rRNA from 1 species
AAGGGUACUUUUUGGUUUUGUAUUGGAAUGAGUUAAGUAUAAACCCCUUUACAAGUAUCAAUUGGAGGGCAAGUCUGGUGCCAGCAGCCGCGGUAAUUCCAGCUCCAAUAGCGUAUAUUAAAGUUGUUGCAGUUAAAAAGCUCGUAGUUGGAUUUCUGUUAAUAAUUUAUAUAAAAUAUUUUGAUGAAUAUUUAUAUAAUAUUAACAUAAUUCAUAUUACUAUAUAUUUUAGUAUAUGAAAUUUUACUUUGAGAAAAUUAGAGUGCUUAAAGCAGGCAUAUGCCUUGAAUACUCCAGCAUGGAAUAAUAUUAAAGAUUUUUAUCUUUCUUAUUGGUUCUAAGAUAAGAAUAAUGAUUAAUAGGGACAGUUGGGGGCAUUUGUAUUUAACAGUCAGAGGUGAAAUUCUUAGAUUUGUUAAAGACAAACUAAUGCGAAAGCAUUUGCCAAGGAUGUUUUCAUUAAUCAAGAACGAAAGUUAGGGGAUCGAAGACGAUCAGAUACCGUCGUAGUCUUAACCAUAAACUAUGCCAACUAGAGAUUGGAGGUUGUUCUUUUACUUCCUUGAA